UAUUAUAAUACAAUGAAUUUAAUUGAUUAUAACCGCUAGAAAUGGAUAAAGAAUGUAUAGAAGUGUGAAGAAAGACUUGUUGAAAUUUGGUCCCAAAUGGGAUAAGAACCCACAACCAUUGCUUUGAAGCAGUAAAUGGCUUGUCUAGAGUUGUUUUAGGUUAGAACAUGUUAUAAUACAAUGAAUUUGAUUGAUUACAAGUGCUAGAGAUGGAUGAAGAACGUUUAGAAGU
rnacentral:lncRNA from 1 species